rnacentral:rRNA from 1 species
UAUUCGGAUUGAUACUAAGCCAUGCGAGUCAUUGUAGCAAUACAAGGCAUAUGGCUCAGUAACGCGUAGUCAACYUAACCUAUGGACGGGAAUAACYUCGGGAAACUGAGAAUAAUGCCCGAUAGAACAUWAUGCYUGGAAUKGUUUAUGUUCCAAAUGAUUUWUCGCCGUAGGAUGGGACUKCSGCCWAUCAGUUUGUUGGUGAGGUWAUKGGCCCACCAAGAMUAUUACAGKUACGGRCUCUGAGAGGAGUAGCCCGGAGAUGGGUACUGAGACACGGACCCAGGCCCUAUGGGGCGCAGCAGCGAGAAACUUUGCAAUGUGCGAAAGCACGACAAGGUUAAUCCGAGUGGUUUCUGCUAAAGGAACCUUUUGUCAGUYCUAGAAACACUGAUGAWUAAGGKGUGGSCARGUUCUGGUGUUAAGCCGCCGGCGKUAAWACMAGCCACYUCAAGUKGUCAGRAUGAUUAUUGGSCUUAAAGCAUCSGUAGCCGGCUCUGUAAGUUUUCGGUUAAAUCUGUACGCUUCAACGUACAGGCUGCCGGGAWUACUGCAAAGCUAGGGAGUGGGAGAGGUAGACGGUACUCGGUAGGGAAGGGGUAAAAUCCUUUGAUCUAUUGAUGACCACCUGUGGCGAAGGCGGUCUACCAGAACACGUCCCGACGGUGAGGGAUGAWGGCUGGGGGAGCAAACCGGAUUAGAUACCCGGGUAGUCCCAGCUGUAAACCAUGCAAACUCAGUGAUGCAUUGGCUUGUGGCCAAUGCAGUGCUGCAGGGAAGCCGUUAAGUUUGCCGCCUGGGAAGUACGUACGCAAGUAUGAAACUUAAAGGAAUUGGCGGGGRAKCACCACAAGGGGUGAAGCCUGCGGUUCAAUUGGAGUC